AAAAGAAAAGGAAUUGAAUCAAAAGAAAUGCCUUGAUUUUGGGCCAAUUCGUAUCAGCCCAAGUGAUUUUGCCCCAAACCCGUCUCAAGAUCCAGGCCCAAAUUACCCCAAACCCGGUCCAGCUUAAAAGCCUGAUCAAACGAUGUCGUCUUGGACCCUUUUCAUCAGAGCCGUCGAUUUCAUUUAAUCGGACGGCCCGGAACUGGCUUUAGUUCACCAUAUAACUGUUCGAAUGGCCUACCCCCCAUUCUAUAGCUUCAGUUAAUCUCCUCCUUCAGAGACCCUCAAGUACCCUACCCUAAAAUUCUCACCACUCCGGUGGUGGUGCCACCUCUAAUCCGCCUCAAAACUACACCAUAUAACCCCCAGCCCCUCCUCUUCCUAAAUCCUGAAGCAACUUCCCUCAAAUCCCUCCCCAUCGUUUCGAAUUUUCGAUCCAAGGUCAAGACCCCAAACCCCAAAAUCCCAAAUCUCCCAAAUCGUCAAGUUUCAGUGAAGGAUUGGAGUCAAAGUUGAUUUUAUUCGUGUGUUCUCAACGAGAACACACGAUUAAUGUCAAUCUCGGCUAAAAAUUUAAGGUUUUGAAGAUUUUUUCAAAAUCCACUGUCAACCCGCCUAUUUUUAGGUACACAAUCUCAAAUUCUGAACAUGUAAGAGUGGUUUGUUUGGUUUGAAGAAAUGAAGAUCCUCAUAUUUACUUAAUGCUUUUUCUUUUAGCUUGUUUAGUUAAUUUUUUGUUUUAACAUGUUAAGAACUGAUGUUAUGCCAUGGACAUUAUGAUUUGUGCUAAGGGUUGUAUUUUGGACUUUUA